GGGUAGGAGUGGAAGAAUCAGAGUGUUUCUUUGAAAAUUGGCUUGAUGUGUCUGUCCAAGGGUCAUCUGGAGGAAAAAAUACAAGUGCACUCAGACAUGAACUAAUGGAUAAGGAGGAGACAAUCAGAACUGCUUUGGAUUCAGCCCAUAGAAGGGCCAGAGGAGUCGCGCUGACACCUUCAUGUUUAAACAGAGGACACUUUUCUGCGUGCCACUAGAUGUAUAUCAGCCAUACCAAAAUGCUGCCUUUGCCUGAGACAGGGAAGAUGAAAUGACUUUGGGGAAAUGGAGAAUCAUUCAUGAAUCCAGUUACUUUCUGAUCUGACAGCUUUGUGGCAUCUGAAUGGAUAACAAUUUGAUCUGGUAAUCUCAAUUGAUAGAGUGCAAAUGUGUAGUGAUGCAUUUUGGGAGCUCUGGUAAGUGAAAGAUGUUCACAAUGACUAGUAGAUCCCUAGAGAGCACUGAGAAACAAAGGGACCUUGAUGUCCAAAAGCAAGAGUUCAUGCCCUCUGCUUCUGGCCUUUCAGGCAAUGUUGGAUCCAACACUCCACUGAGCCUUAGAUCCCAUGAGCUCUUGUUUUGUUGACCAGUCUGCUAUCACUGACCUUAUCAAAAACAUAUAGACCACAUCAGAUGAAUUUCCCUCUUCAACACUUCUGAUAUCUCCUCAAUAAAAAUUAGAUAAAAUUUGCAAACCAUGGCAUUACCUCAACAAAGCCAUGCUGACUAUCCCCGAACAUUCCAUGUUUCUCCAAGUGCAGCGACAUUUUGUCCCUUAAAAUUCUUUCUGAUAACUUCCCUACCACCAAGGUUAGACUGGCUUGUAACUUCUGGAUCUGUCCUUUCUUCUUUUAUAUAAAAGUAUGAGCGGUCCUCUGGCACCUCAGCUGUGGCCAGAAAUGACUUGAAAAAUCUUUGCCAGGACCUUUGAUAUCUCCUCCCCUGCUUCAUAAAGUCAUGCAGUAUAGAAACAGGCUCACUUGAUCAACAUCAAUGCCAACUAACAAACAUCAAACUACUGAUCCCAUUUACCUGCACUGAGUCAUUACCUACCAUACCCUGGCCCUUUAAAUGCUCAUCUGUUGCUUCUUUAAUAUUGCAAGCGUAUCUGCCUUCUCCACCUUGUCAGGCAGCAUAUUACAUGUUUGUAUCGCUUUUGGUGAAAACACUUGCCUCAGAUCCCCUCUAAAUAGCUGACAGUUCACCUGAAAUCUAUACCCCCUGACUUAAACUCGUCUACUGGUUCUCACAAUCAAUCUAUGCCUCCUCAUAAUUUUGAAUACGUCGAUCAGAUUUCCCCUCAGCCUCCUCUGCUGCAUGGAAAACGCACUUAGCCUACCAGUUUCUCCUCAUAAAACUUGCAUUCAAUCACAAAACAACACCCUGAAACAUAUACUAUCAACCAACCUGGCCAACAUCUCUGUCUCCGGCUUGCUACAGUGUUCCAGUGAAGCCCAGCACAAGCAGACAGAACAACACCUCAUUUUCUACUUGGGGACCUGACAGCCCUCCAGACUUAAUAUUGAGUUCUGCAAUUUUAGGGCCUAAACUCUCCCAUAUCCCAGCGCCCCCACCCCACACACCAGGCUUUGUUACCACGCAGCCUGCCACUACACACUCCCUGUUGUUAGUGACUAACAGUCCCCAUUGACAACUUCCCAGCCUGAUCGUCAGCAACUCCUUUAUCUGUCCACCUGUCUUUCUCUCUCUUUGGGCUCUAUCCUAUUGUUUACUCCCUCCCCACCCUCCUCCCUAUUUUCGGCAUAGAAACUGAUGUUUUCCCAGCCACCAUCAGUUCUGAGGAAGGGUCACCGGACUGGAAAUGUAAACUCUGUUUUUUCCUCCAACAUAUGUUGCCACACCUGCUGAGCUUUUCCAGCAACUUUGUUUUUGU